rnacentral:lncRNA from 1 species
AUGCAGACCCUGGAGCACUCUCGUGUUCUAGAGUGAGACUCCUCGCCCACCGUCCUGUCCCGUUUCUGGGAACCACACACUGCAGCGCAGUUGUUUGUUGAGUGCUUGUGAGGCGAGACCACCCCCCGGCAGCUGGACAGGUCCUCACAGGGAAAGAUGAGCAGCAUCCCGUCACACGUCUCGAUGCCCGGCUCGAAUUUCGUUCCUUCUCUGUUGGAAGGUGCAGCUUAUCUGACCGGAAGCCUCUUCGGGUCUCACUAUGGUGCUGAAUUGCCAACCUGGACUCACACUUGUGAUCCCCCUGCCUCACCCUCCCUGGAGUGCUGGGAUGACAGGUGUGCACCAUCACACCCCGCUCACAAUUGACUUUUUAAAGUGCUGCUCAUUUUGCCCCAGCUUGAAAAACAGAGACUGAUGAAAUUGUUGCAAGACUGUAGAAGGUUUUUAAUGCUUUGUUGCUGUUGUUAAUCCACCAAGGCAGUAUGCAUUUUCCCGCUGGAGAAAUACCUUCUAAACUGGAUCCAACAUUCUGAGCCCAUUUCUGCCUUGGG